rnacentral:rRNA from 1 species
UAGUCAUAUGCUUGCUUUAAAGAUUAAGCCAUGCACGUGUCAGAGUAUGCCUGUCAAGGCGAAUCUGCAGACGGCUCAUUACAACAGCUAUUACAAAAGUGACGUUUCAUAAACGGAUAACCGUGGGGAACCAAGGCUAAUACGGUUGAAAUGCAAGACACUUUGUCUUGUGUCUAUCCUGCAGCAAAAACCAAACGCGCACGUCGUGUGAGACGAACCGCAGGAUUAUGUCGAGUCGAGAAAUCGAUGCGUCAUCUUGGUUUCUGACCUAUCAGCUAUCGACGGUAGGGUGUUUGCCUACCGUGGCGACGACGGGUAACGGGGAAUUAGGGUUUGAUUCCGGAGAGGGAGCCUGAGAGACGGCUACCACGUCUAAGGAUGGCAGCAGGCGCGCAAAUUACCCAAUCCUGAUGCAGGGAGGUAGUGACAAAAAAUAGCAACACGAAGCAAUCGCUUCGAUGAUUGCAAUGAGAUUCUGCUAAACUAUGCUUCUAGAAUCAAUUA